UUGCGCUGAUGUGGCCUAACUGACGCAAGCGCCGCGAGGCGUGGUCGGCCCCGCAGAGGCCCGCUGGGAGCCGGGAAGGAGCAUGCGCGGAAGCCCGGUAGGGCGCGGGCCGCUGACCAUGGCGAAGAAGCGGGGCCAAGACGAAGACCCUGGUCCCAGCCCGUCGGUGCUGUUCCUGCACCCCGACCUGGGCGUGGGCGGCGCCGAGCGGCUGGUGCUGGACGCGGCAUUGGCGCUGCAGGCGCGCGGAUGUAGCGUCAAGAUCUGGACGGCGCACUACGAUCCCGGCCACAGCUUCGCGGACAGCCGCGAGCUGCAGGUGCGCUGCGCCGGGGACUGGCUCCCGCGCAGCCUGGGCUGGGGCGGCCGCGGCGCCGCGGUCUGCGCCUACGUGCGCAUGAUCUUCCUGGCGCUCUACGUGCUGUUCCUCGGGGACGUGGAGUUCGACGUGGUCGUGUGCGACCAGGUGAGGCGGCCGCGAGUGCGGCCACGCCCGACCCUCGCCUCGCCUCCUUUUCCCGCUAGGGAGGGCGCACUGCAUGGCCUCUGGUGAGCUCUCCCGGCCUGCGGUUCGGAGAGAUCGGAACUGAUCUGGAGAGAAGAGAACUGGGAGUGAGACUGGUUCUCGAACUUUAGUGUGGACACAUUAAAGUUGCACGGUGUUACAGGGCCCCACCCUCAGAAGCUUUCAUCCUGGAGUCCUGAGGUGGGGCCCAGAAAUCUGCAUUUUCGCUGGAUCUUCGGGCAAUUCUGAAGUAGAUGGGUCUUGGGGCUGCUCUGAGAAACGCAAGCAUUAGAAGUCAACCCUAAGUCACCUUUUCCUUCUGAGUAACGUGUAGGUCUUCCCCUCUUUGCAUUAAUUAUGUUGACUCUACUUCCAGGCCACAUGCAUCCCACUGUCUUAGUUUUUGCAGACAGGCCACUUCGUUUGUGCGCGGUGUCGUGUUAAAAACACCGAGUGAAACAUGUCAUGCCCUGUUAAAGCUUAACAUGGCUUCCUGUUAGUCUUGGGAGAAGUUAGAGUUCUUUACCUCAGUAAAUAAUGUCCACCUGCAUCUGGGCUCUAGCUGUUUUGGACUCUACGCUUUUUCUUCCCCAAAAGUAAUUUAUCUUAAAAAGUAACAUUUACUCAACAAAAAUUCAAAGAGUAUAAAAGAGUGUAAUGUAGGGACGCCUGGGUGGCUCAGUUGGUUAAGCGACUGCCUUCGGCUCAGGUCAU